UCUCUUCAUCUACCCCCCAG
rnacentral:miRNA from 1 species